ACAGUGCCCUUCUACCGCCGCCGUCGAUAUUCUUUGAAGGUCAGUUUAAUUAUUCCCCUUCCUCGUUUAGGGUUCUUGGUUUUGUGUGACAGAGUUCAUGUGGUGUAAUUUUGUUCUUAUGGUUCUAACAAUUCGAUAAGGUUAAUAUUCUAAUUGAGGCAGAGGGCCUGAUUUGUUCGGCUCCUGUAGUAUUUGCCUAAACCCCCUUAGUUGCUUCAGUCCCUUUCAUUCCCCCAUAGACAAGAAUAUGGCCUUACCAAAUCAAAAAGAUAAAAGAGGGAGCACAAUUGCAUAAGCAACAGUAGCAAUAUAGGAAAAUCCUUAGCUACGAUCAGAAAAUGCUCACCUUAUCAUCUCUUGGGCCCAUGUAGCUAUUGAUUUCAGUUGUUUAUCAUUUGUCUGAAGGCACUCAGACAACAAAUUUGAGCAAAAUUUAGUAUCUUUGAACAACAUUUUUACAUUCGAGCCAAGUGCAUCUGCUAGGUCGUCCUGAACUGCCACUGCUGCCUUAGUCACAUUAGCAUCACUCUGUUCAUCUUUUGCAACCAAUUCCAACUGCAGGAGAUGAGGGGCAUGAGGCCAGCUUUGGAAUAUACUUUAAAUCCUUGAAGAAUUCUAGAAUAAGCCUAAAAAAUGUAGAUCCUAAGAUGGUUGCCAUAGUCUAUCAUCUCCUCAUCAUUAUAGUCCACCUGCAUAAUUAUAGGCUUAGUUUCCUCAGCACUGCUUAAUUUUUGAAUAAUAACCUGAAGCACGCCACACAGGGAGGUUUGUAAAUCUCCUUGCUUUUCCUUGUGAUCAGAUGAUACUAUCUGAAGACAUUCCUUAGUUGCUUCAGUAGCUUCUACUAAGUUGUAGUGUGGGAUUUGGGGGAAUCAAAGUUGGUGAGAUUUAAUAGAAUUAUGUUGAUUUAGGUGUAGAUAAAUUAUGUUGAUUUAGAGUUGGUGAGAUUUGUAGAACUAAAAGAAACUACAAAGCAACCGAGAGUUAGUGAGAUUUGAUAGAAUUAUGUUGGCUUUUUUAGCCUUAGCAGCAUCACUUAAAUUGUUUAUCUUUUUUCAUCAAGCUUAGUUGCAUUAGUUUUCUUUUGCUAUAACAGAGAACAAAAACGAGUCCUUGUCCAACAUAGUGUCUCCUGGCUGGGGUGUUAUGUGCUUUUUUUUUUUUUUUUUUUUUUUUCCGUUUCUAGUAAAAGCUUUAUUUCAGCUUCUAUACUUUCUGUCACAUUACAGCUUCUCUUAAGUAUAGUUUGUAGGUUUUAUUAAUUGGUGGUGAAAGUUUAGUUAAGUUUCUCUUAGUUGUCAAAUUUGUCAAGGUACGAAAGUUUCAUUACCUAAAUUGUUUAGUUGCUUAUUCCAUUUUAUUUUAUCUUGUAAUUGUAACUACUUUGUCUCCACUAAUCUUAACUUGGCCUCACAAAUCAUAAUGGCUUAGUGUUUUUUAAAUGACUCUCGUAUUUUAUAUUUUCUAUUAGUUUUAAAUUUAUUAUUUGAUUCCUUUACUACAUUGCAUUUAUGAUUUAUGAUUUAGGAUUUAAGGUCUAAUUUUAUUUUUAGUAUUGGUAUAUACUGUGAUGCAGAAACUGCGAAUGAGAAUAUGGAAUUUAGAGCAUGAGAAUUGUCAAAAAGGUUGAUUGAUACAAAAAUCAAUCAAAUUUUCUUAGCUCCGUGUAAUGUGGAAUAUCAUUGGAUUCUUACGGUGAUUGACCCUAAUAAGGGAGAGAUUGCUAUCUUGGAUUCCCUAUACAAAGGAAUUCAUGAUAAAAUUUGGAAAGAAGUCGUGGAAUUGGCCUUAAGGUUGUUCAAUAUGGAGAAGAGAAAGAAUGGAAAGAAGAAGCCUGAUUGGACAAUACUGAAGGUUCCGAAACAACCGGACUUGACUCAAUGUGGUUUCUAUGUGAUGAAGUACAUGAGAGAGAUAGUGAUAAAUAGUCAUCCUUGGACGAUUGGUUCUCUACAAUCUUUGUUCAAUGCUCAUGAAAAGUAUUCAAAUGAAGAGAUAGAUGUAGUGCGAUCAGAGUGGGCAGAUUGUGUUCAAGAAUAUAUAAAGGAGUAAAAGGAUAUGUAGUGGUGAUGGCAAAGAAGACAAUAUUGGACGUAUUGGUUGAUGCAUCACAUUUUGAAGGAACGAAGGAGCAACAAGUGUUAACUCAUUUGAAUGCUAAGAUUCCAUUUAUUUGGUAGUGGAUCCACAAAUCAUGUUUACUCAUUUUAGUUAUAUAUAGUUUUUGUUAGAAUUUAGCUUAAGUGUUAGUAUUUUGUAAUGGAAUAUGGUAGAAUUGAUUUGGACGAAUCUUAAUUGUAAUGAAUAUUGAAAUUUUAUAAUGAUUAUAUUAUAAAUGAAAA